CUGGUUGAUCCUGCCGGAGGCCACCGCUAUUGGGGUCCGACUAAGCCAUGCGAGUCAUGGGGCGCCUUGCGCGCACCGGCGGACGGCUCAGCAACACGUCGGUAACCUAGCCUCGGGAGGGGGACAACCCCGGGAAACUGGGGCUAAUCCCCCAUAGGUUUAGGGCACUGGAAUGUCCCUAAACCGAAAGGGGCUCUGCCCGCCCGAGGAUGGGCCGGCGGCCGAUUAGGUAGUUGGUGGGGUAACGGCCCACCAAGCCCAUAAUCGGUACGGGCAGUGAGAGCUGGAGCCCGGAGAUGGACACUGAGACACGGGUCCAGGCCCUACGGGGCGCAGCAGGCGCGAAACCUCCGCAAUGCUCGGAAGAGCGACGGGGGGACCCCAAGUGCCGUGGUACAACCACGGCUUUUCCGGAGUGUAGGAAGCUCCGGGAAUAAGGGCUGGGCAAGGCCGGUGGCAGCCGCCGCGGUAAUACCGGCGGCCCGAGUGGUGGCCACUAUUAUUGGGCCUAAAGCGUCCGUAGCCGGGCUUGUAAGUCCCUGGCGAAAUCCCACGGCUCAACCGUGGGGCUUGCUGGGGAUACUGCAAGCCUUGGGACCGGGAGAGGCCGGGGGUACUCCUGGGGUAGGGGUGAAAUCCUAUAAUCCCAGGAGGACCGCCAGUGGCGAAGGCGCCCGGCUGGAACGGGUCCGACGGUGAGGGACGAAGGCCAGGGGAGCAAACCGGAUUAGAUACCCGGGUAGUCCUGGCUGUAAAGGAUGCGGGCUAGGUGUUGCUUGGACCUCGAGUCCAGGCAGUGCCGCAGGGAAGCCGUUAAGCCCGCCGCCUGGGGAGUACGGCCGCAAGGCUGAAACUUAAAGGAAUUGGCGGGGGAGCACUACAAGGGGUGGAGCGUGCGGUUUAAUUGGAUUCAACGCCGG
rnacentral:rRNA from 1 species